UACGAAGGGGACUAGCGUUGUUCGGAAUCACUGGGCGUAAAGCGCACGUAGGCGGAUUUGUAAGUCAGGGGUGAAAUCCGGGGCUCAACCUCGGAACUGCCUUUGAUACUGCGAAUCUUGAGUCCGAUAGAGGUGGGUGGAAUUCCUAGUGUAGAGGUGAAAUUCGUAGAUAUUAGGAAGAACACCCGUGGCGAAGGCGGCUCUCUGGAACGCAACUGACGCUGAGACGCGAAAGCGUGGGGAGCAACAGG
rnacentral:rRNA from 1 species